rnacentral:lncRNA from 1 species
UUAGUGGUGGUACAUAUCAUAGUGUUAUGUGCCCCCUCCCUUAUUAAGAAAAUAAUGACAAAUCUUUGAUUGUUUCUGUCGAAUCUAUGUAUAUCUAUUAUGGAAUCUAGACAAUAAUGAGCGAGACAUAUUGUGUGAUUAUGAGACUGUAUAUAUGCACCAAGAUGUGUUUUUUUUUAUUUCUGUCGUCGGGCUUCUGUCCUAUUGACAUAUACACACCAUCUGAUUCUCUUCUAUGUCACAUAUAAUGUUUCGUGUACACUGCUGG